AGCGAACGCUGGCGGCAGGCUUAACACAUGCAAGUCGAACGGGCUUCUUCGGAAGUCAGUGGCAGACGGGUGAGUAACACGUGGGAACGUGCCCUUCGGUUCGGAAUAACUCAGGGAAACUUGAGCUAAUACCGGAUACGCCCUUUUGGGGAAAGGUUUACUGCCGAAGGAUCGGCCCGCGUCUGAUUAGCUUGUUGGUGGGGUAACGGCCUACCAAGGCGACGAUCAGUAGCUGGUCUGAGAGGAUGAUCAGCCACACUGGGACUGAGACACGGCCCAGACUCCUACGGGAGGCAGCAGUGGGGAAUAUUGGACAAUGGGCGCAAGCCUGAUCCAGCCAUGCCGCGUAAGUGAUGAAGGCCUUAGGGUUGUAAAGCUCUUUUGUCCGGGACGAUAAUGACGGUACCGGAAGAAUAAGCCCCGGCUAACUUCGUG
rnacentral:rRNA from 1 species